UUUGUACUCCCUCCGUCCGAAAAUACUUGUCAUCAAAAUGGACAAAAGGAGAUGUAUCUAGAACUAAAAUACAUCUAGAUACACCCUCUUUUAUUCAUUUUGAUGAUAAGUAUUUCCGGACGGAGGGAGUAUAAC
rnacentral:pre_miRNA from 1 species